AUUGAACGCUGGCGGAAUGCUUUACACAUGCAAGUCGAACGGUAGAGGGGGCAACCCCUCGAGAGUGGCGAACGGGUGAGUAAUAUAUCGGAACGUGCCCAGUCGUGGGGGAUAACGUAGCGAAAGUUACGCUAAUACCGCAUACGAUCUAAGGAUGAAAGCGGGGGAUCGCACGACCUCGCGCGAUUGGAGCGGCCGAUAUCAGAUUAGGUAGUUGGUGGGGUAAAGGCUCACCAAGCCAACGAUCUGUAGCUGGUCUGAGAGGACGACCAGCCACACGGGAACUGAGACACGGUCCAGACUCCUACGGGAGGCAGCAGUGGGGAAUUUUGGACAAUGGACGCAAGUCUGAUCCAGCCAUUCCGCGUGCAGGAUGAAGGCCCUCGGGUUGUAAACUGCUUUUGUACGGAACGAAAAGGUCUCUCUUAAUACGGGGGGCUCAUGACGGUACCGUAAGAAUAAGCACCGGCUAACUACGUGCCAGCCGCCGCAGUAA
rnacentral:rRNA from 1 species